rnacentral:rRNA from 1 species
CACGUAGGGCGCGAGCGUUGUCCGGAAUUAUUGGGCGUAAAGAGCUCGUAGGCGGCCUGUUGCGUCCGCUGUGAAAGCCCGGGGCUUAACCCCGGGUCGGCAGUGGAUACUGGCAGGCUAGAGGUAGGUAGGGGAGAAUGGAAUUCCCGGUGUAGCGGUGAAAUGCGCAGAUAUCGGGAGGAACACCGGUGGCGAAGGCAGUUCUCUGGGCCUUACCUGACGCUGAGGAGCGAAAGCGUGGGGAGCGAACAGG